GACGAACGCUGGCGGCGUGCCUAAUACAUGCAAGUUGAGCGAUGAAGAUUGGUGCUUGCACCAAUUUGAAGAGCAGCGAACGGGUGAGUAACGCGUGGGGAAUCUGCCUUUGAGCGGGGGACAACAUUUGGAAACGAAUGCUAAUACCGCAUAAUAACUUCAAACAUAAGUUUUAAGUUUGAAAGAUGCAAUUGCAUCACUCAAAGAUGAUCCCGCGUUGUAUUAGCUAGUUGGUGAGGUAAAGGCUCACCAAGGCGAAGAUACAUAGCCGACCUGAGAGGGUGAUCGGCCACAUUGGGACUGAGACACGGCCCAAAAUCCUACGGGAGGCAGCAGUAGGGAAUCUUCGGAAAUGGACGAAAGUCUGACCGAGCAACGCCGCGGGAGUGAAGAAGGUUUUCGGAUCGUAAAACUCUGUUGGUAGAGAAGAACGUUGGUGAGAGUGGAAAGCUCAUCAAGUGACGGUAACUACCCAGAAAGGGACGGCUAACUACGUG
rnacentral:rRNA from 1 species